ACACUGCAGUCCAGUGUCAUUGCUGUGUGAAUUCUCUGCAAGUUUUCCGCUAACUCGCGACACGUCUCGCAGGGGUUUGCAGCCAGACGUUAGAGGAGGGGAACGCGGGUAGGCUACCACCCCAGGCAGGGACAGACCUCCGUGUCCUAGGCACAGCACACCUGCGACCCUGACAAGACAAAUGACGCGCCUGCAGUCAUUUCCAUCAGGAUCCAGACGCUUGGCCAACUGGCGGGCGAGGUCCUGCACUGGCUGGGCCACCACUCAGAGGGCGCUCAGGAGGAGCCUGGGGACAGCACUGAGCAGGGUGCAGGCGGCCGUGCUGGUCUCCCACCUCCGGAUGUGAGGCUCCCUUCCCAAGAGCUCCUAACUCUGCCGUAUCCUGUGUGGUUAGUGGCAAUUCUAGGCUAAGUGCCUGACACGCUUAGUGCCUCAUCGUGUGACAAAAAGAUGAAGGAUGGAAAACAGGGCAUAGUUUUUUCACUUUCUCAUUAUCAAAGCCUUAAUUUUUACUCUGAGACUUUGGACAAGCCUUACCGUUUCUCUAGCUGCUUCCAACUUUACUACUUUGUAAGCACUUGGCUUUGCUUUCUAAGUAGACAUGCCAACCUAGGAACAAAUACCCAGAGGCUCACUGAUACUUACUUAAUGGGGGUGACGACAUACGUACUUAGGGAACAGAGUUCAGAGCAAAGAUUAGGCAAAAGCAUCAAGUUCCCCAGGGUGAGCUUCAAAAACUAUACGAAAUAAACGUUUUUCUCAAGGAGACCGCUGAAAAUAUUUAGACCUCUCCCCGACUCUUAAGAGGACAGGGCUAAGUCCCGAGCUUCAGACAACGCUCCUAGAAGACCUUCAGGGUCACAGUCCUCUCGCUAGUCCUGCACAUGACUCCAGUCUAUAAUGGAAAGCUAGAGACAAUUUUUUUUUUUUUUUUUUUUUUUGCGGUACGGGGGCCUCUCACUGUUGUGGCCUCUCCCGCUGCGGAGCACAGGCUCCGGACACGCAGGCUCAGCGGCCAUGGCUCACGGGCCCAGCCGCUCCGCGGCAUGUGGGAUCUUCCCGGACCGGGGCACGAACCCGUGUCCCCUGCAUCGGCAGGUGGACUCUCAACCGCUGUGCCACCAGGGAAGCCCUAGAGACAAUUUUUUUAAGGAUGUAAAUCCAAGCACUGCACAAUUAACUAUUGCAUUCUAUACUGUACUAGAAAUUACUUCUCCCACACACCUCUUGGCGCCAGGGAAAUAAAGGGGAAUGUUUUUAUUUAGUAAAAAAUAUAUACUAAUUUCUCAGUUCAGCAAGUAUGCAAGCUGAAGAUUAUGCCAAGGCUAAAAUCAUAGUGUACAGAAGAAGUAUGUCUGUAUGUGAGUGCCCGUAUGUAUCUCUGGGUGCGUUUAACCAGAGAUUUUUUGCUUUUUAAAAAAAGAUAGCUUGUUUCUACUUUUAAACUAGACCUUUGACGUUAUAUAAUCAAAUGAAAUACACUGAAAUAUCAUAAGAAUAUCUUUUCCAUCUAUAUAACUUUAAGAUAGUGGACUUUUUAUGUUUUGCUAAAGUAAAUAUUAGUAAACCAACCUGUAAAGUUAAGUUUUUAAGUUAGUAAACUCAGAAUGAUAAUUCUCUCCAGCUUUUCAAAAAUUCUAAUUCUCUGCUUCUUUAAUUCUUUAUGAAUCUUGAUUAAGUCAGGAAGAAAGGGAAGUUCAGUAUUUGAUGAUAAUCUCUGACUUCUGACAAACUCUUGACGUUACAUAUUCCAAAUGAAACGUGCACCAAAAUACUGGAAACUCAAAGAAAGCAACUCGAUCAUUGUUCUAUCAAACUCAAGAAUUCCCCCAUGACUGGGCACGCAAGUGUUACCUACUGCAGGAGGCCUUCCUUGAGCUCGCUCUGAUUUCCGUCACCUUUGUUUUUACACACUGCACUGUAUGCACUUCCUUGGUAGCAUAAAACGUAUUAUUUUAUAAUUAUCCAUUUGUACGUCUGCAUCCUCUUAAACUGGGAGUGCCUCUGGUAACGGACAGGGUCCGUUUGGCAAGUAACCCCACUGCCUAGAGCAGUUCUUGCUUGCCGGAGCAGGCCUCACUGGAUGUUGGCAGAAUGAAUAAACGAACAAUUGGCAUUUUAUGAUAUUGGCCUGCACAGGAGAAUGUGUGUAAGUCUCACUGCCUGAGGCCCUGGGCUCCCAGCUCCCACAAGCGGCAAGUUAGUUAAAAAAGCUAAGGAUGAAUCUGGAUUUCCUGAAUGAUCCCACAGCUUGGGGAUCACCUCCAACUUGGAGGAAUGUCUUUUAAGGAUCCCGUUUCCAAUAAUCCUAAAGUCUGCUGCAAGGUGUUGAGACUGGGUUAAUGCUAAUUUUUUUGUUUCAACUUGAUUUCACCAGAGUGAAUAUUCUUAUAGAAUACACAAAAGUAGAAACUCACAGGGAGAUGGGGACACAGCUGGGUGUAUGAAGCAACUGCAAUGGCAUUUCCCACCAUUGGGAAAUGAGAAAGUAUUAAGUGAAACUCAUGUCUUUCAAGGAACAGAAACAAGUUUUCAGAGGGCUUUUGUGUUCACAGAGGAGUCUUUUCCUGAUGGGUGGGGUCUUUUCCUUAUAGUCCGCUGCCCCACUCUAGUUCAGGGUACUGAGAGUUCCCUAGCAUUUGAGCUACACCAUGGAUUGUCUAAGCUCAGUGAUCUAAUAGGAAUUUCCUUUAAGGGCAGCAGGCUAAUGUUAAGUUUCGCUGUGCAGAAAGAAACCCUCUCAAAAGUCUCUUCACGUUGGAGUCAACGGCAUCCUCCCUGUCUGGGCACUGCGCUCCAUUAGCUUUACCUUCCUGCAGGGAGGGCCGUGACUUUAGAACUUCCCUUCAGAACUGAAAGCAAGUCCUGCGAGCUUUCACAGACACUAUGUGCAGGAGCAAGUCUAAUCAAACAUUUCAUCUGUCUUCGGCUUUUUUAUAAGGUGGAGCCAGCACUGGCGGGACUGAAGUCUGGCAAACAAGGAGCCACGUGACGGCAUCCGUGGAGAAGCAAAGCCCCAGACUAGAGGCAGUGCUUCCGGGCACUCAUCCUGUGGAGGGGGAGGGGAGGCAGGAAGUGAUCUAUACAGGAAUUGAAGAGCAAGCACAUCGUGGACAAGGCGUUUUCAAGAUCAUACAGGUGCCUUAUAGUUAUACAGAGCCACUCAGACCUAGAAUGAGGACGACAAAUUAGUAAACAAAAAAGAGACCCGAGUCCCUUGACUAACACUGGGAGGCAGUGCAGCCCGCGGAAGCACAAAGCAGACCAGGACGUUGGGACCUGAUGCGGCCCGGGAGCGUAGAGGCCAGCAAAGCACCCCUUUCACUUGUGCGGAGGAACCAGUCUCCAGCUUAAACCUACUGCCCCGGGCCAUACAGCACAGGGAGGGCUAAUGUGAGAGCCCAGUGUGGCCUCACUCCUAGUCUAGUCUAAGCUCUUUCUACAACAGGGUGCUCUGUUGGCCUGGUCUUUCAUUUAGAACAAUACACACAAUACCCUCCAGGGAAAACAGCUGGUUAUUACUGAGUGUCACUUCUCAGAAGGGCCUUUCAUGAUCUUCAAGCCAAAGCCGACCCUCAAGUCACUCCCUGUCUUCUUUUUAUUAUAGCACUUACACUUUCCUGUUUGCUUUAAAUCAGCUGCUCUCCCCGAGAUGUAAGCAGUACAGAGCGGGGACCUUCUGAGCCUUGUUCGAUACUGUAUUUCCGGCAUUAUGGAGCUAACUGGCAUUUAUAAAGUGCUCAAUAAAUGCGGAAUAAUGACUAAACAAGUCAACGACUACACAGAUAGAAGUUUCUGAAUUCCUAAAACAAAGAAGGGGAUGGGGAAACGGUAGGGAUAGUAUCAUUCCUAAUUUGCGGAAAUCUUUAUGAAUGCAAAUCUGACCUUCUCUCUGCUUAGUAAUUCUUAUCAGAUGACUGCCAGUGCCGCUCUCUACAACAGGAUAGUGGGGAGGACAGAACUUCAAAGGCUGCAUGACUGAUCCAGCAACGAGAGGGGAGAGGAACACUGGAGACCCUGAUUAAGUGCAGCCCAGCCGACGGGAGCCUCACUGGUUGCUGAUCCCUCUGGGAGCAACACAGAGGAUGAACUGGCAGAAAGGAAGUCUGGAAGCAGGAAAAUUAUCCAAAGGCUUAUUACAAUAAUCCAGAUGGGAAGUCUGAGCACCUGAUCCGGGGCUGUGAAACUGCUGAGUGUGAGAGGAAAGACUCGAGACAGACCCAAACGAUAGAGCUGACGGGACUGGGAUGUGGGUUCCUAGAGAGAACAGAAUCAAAGGGAGCGCCUCUGAGAAGAACUUUCACAGUGUAGACACACCGUGAACUCAAAGCCUAGCAAAGACUGAGGCAAUUUACAAAGCCAGGUUCCCGCCAGGGAUGGUGGUCAAGUGGUCAAAAGUCAAAUAACUGCAAUAAAAAGAAAUGAGAUAAAUAUCACCUAUAAAGAUGAGAGUGAGAUCUAGCAAUGGUUACCAAUAAAGAACUUGAUAGAAUACAGUUAGUAAGUCCCCAUGCCACAUUUUUAAAUAACAGAUAAAACGAAGCAUCCCUCUCUUUCUCACUGGAAACAAAUACAUUACUUUUUAAGCCUCUGUAUAUCAUCUCAACUGAGAAAAAGUCUCUAUACCACAAAACCUUCCAGGUCCUGGGCCAGCCUGAGCUCCUCCAACGCAGCCCUGGGUUUGCAGAGUAAGAUGGCAUUUUGCCGGGUUUCGUUACUUGUUUGUUUCUGAAGCAGGCAGAUUUGCCACUGGUCAGUAAGGAAUGGCUGACAAGAGUUAGGGGAAAGAGAACAGAGAAAGAUUAAAGGGGCAAAAAGGGGAAGAAGAGAAGAGAGAGACACAUACUAUAUUGCAAAUCCAUAGCCGGUAUAAAAACCAUCAGAUGUUUUAAAGCACUGAUUUGAUUUUGGUGGCCUUUCCUCUUUAAAGGAGCAAUGCUGAAUGGCAUCAGUACAAGCAAGAAGAUUCACAAGCAAGUGCCUCUGUUUAUAACUAAUGUCAGCAGUAGGACCAGAGAGUCGUUCUUACCAUGUUUCAGAUGUAGGCAGCUGUCAUUCUUGGACCUGUACCUGCAGAAAAUUGUGUCUUUAACAAAUUUUUAUUGAAGAGGUUUUUGUACAUUCCAAAUACGUAGUAGCUACAAUAUAAUGUGGACCUGUUUGCUUUAUUUUUUAUGGUUCUUAUACCAGCCAGUCUUAUUUGUGCCGUACAAGUAGAGGCCUUAUCUUUUAUGAAAGAAAAGGGGAAAUAAACUGGACCUCACUGAUGGAUGCCUUGAAUUAACGUACACGAAAGAUAAACCCUAUCAUCAUGUUUUAUAUUUUUAAAUAACCCCAAACCAUAGAAAGGAUUCUCAAGGGGAUAUAAGGUAGCAUAUCAGAGAGUCAUCAUAAAAAACUGUAUUGUAAGGAGUUUUGCAAAUAGAAGAACAGAAGUGUUAGAGAACACAGACAACAAAAGCAAAAACAAAACCUUAAAAACAACCACAGUUAGCAACCAGGAAUCCAGGUGACAGGGUUUGCAAGAGCUUUUUAGGUGUACCUUCACACAGUCACAUUUAAAAGAAAGGUCUUUCAAACAUUUUGAAAGAAUCUCAGGAAGAAAAGCAGAUUUCAAGAAUCAUAUGUUACAGCUGAAGAAGAAAGCAGCGUGUAGAAAGAUGCAGACUACUCUUUAAAAGGUGCUUGUCAGAAGCACGAGAAUUGGCUGGAAAGUCACAUGGUGCCUACCUGAUGUAGAUUCCUGUAGUUUCUCUCUCUUCCUCUUCUUUUUCUUACCCUGGAAGAAGACAGGCACAUGUUCAUGUUAUAGACUGUACUGUGAACACACGGAUGAACGUGAUACGAAAGGACCAGCAGGUGGUCAACCAAGAGAUCAAGAUGCCUCAUUUUCUCUCUCUCUUUACCAUCUGUGCCUAGAAACAGGGCAAGAGAAAGAAAUUCUUAUCUGUGACCUCUGUCUCUAUAGCUUCGCAUUUAAUGUCAUCGGUACGGUACUGACGUAAGCAGUGGUCAUACACACACACACACACACACAGAGGAGGAUGAUGUCCUAGGGCUGUGGCCACAGACCCCUCCGCCCCCCGCCCACCUUCAAGGAAAGCCCGCUUAAUAAGGAGGCCCUCCUUUCACUGCAAAGCACCACACUUAGGACCCACUUCUGGUAGUGUCGAUGACAAAUCUUCCUCACUGUGAAUUCCACCAUCUAAUUAAAAAUCCACAGUGUUAACUGAGGCCCCCUCAGCUCCCAUGGCACAGACAAGAUGUAACUGAAGACAGUAGUAGAAGGGUAAGAUAGAACCUGAGAAAACUUAGAAGGUAAUUUUAAAGACUGAUUUAUGGCAGUUAAGGACCCUGCUUCCUAAAACAAACACAAUAACGUGAAUAUGCUUGCAAUUUAAAAUACAUUUCAAAAUCAUCUUAAUCACAAAUUUAUAAUUUUAGGUCCCUCUGAUAGUAGUUUAAUUUUCUAUUUUUCUUCAUAAUUACUUUCCCCUCAAAAAAUAAUUGUAAUAGGGCAUAGACACGGCAUAUAUUUGAUUUAUAUGAAUAGUAAAUGACCAACCUAGAUUAGGAUGGUCUUUUCAAAUAAGUGUCAUAGGACACAUAUCACAUCCAGUAUCUCUAUCUUAUGUCUGCUGUAAUAAUCACAUUCACAAAAAAUAAAACCAUAAGAUUAUAUUGAG